GGAAUCUUCCGCAAUGGACGAAAGUCUGACGGAGCAACGCCGCGUGAGUGAUGAAGGUUUUCGGAUCGUAAAGCUCUGUUGUUAGGGAAGAACAAGUACCGUUCGAAUAGGGCGGUACCUUGACGGUACCUAACCAGAAAGCCACGGCUAACUACGUGCCAGCAGCCGCGGUAAUACGUAGGUGGCAAGCGUUGUCCGGAAUUAUUGGGCGUAAAGGGCUCGCAGGCGGUUUCUUAAGUCUGAUGUGAAAGCCCCCGGCUCAACCGGGGAGGGUCAUUGGAAACUGGGGAACUUGAGUGCAGAAGAGGAGAGUGGAAUUCCACGUGUAGCGGUGAAAUGCGUAGAGAUGUGGAGGAACACCAGUGGCGAAGGCGACUCUCUGGUCUGUAACUGACGCUGAGGAGCGAAAGCGUGGGGAGCGAACAGGAUUAGAUACCCUGGUAGUCCACGCCGUAAACGAUGAGUGCUAAGUGUUAGGGGGUUUCCGCCCCUUAGUGCUGCAGCUAACGCAUUAAGCACUCCGCCUGGGGAGUACGGUCGCAAGACUGAAACUCAAAGGAAUUGACGGGGGCCCGCACAAGCGGUGGAGCAUGUGGUUUAAUUCGAAGCAACGCGAAGAACCUUACCAGGUCUUGACAUCCUCUGACAAUCCUAGAGAUAGGACGUCCCCUUCGGGGGCAGAGUGACAGGUGGUGCAUGGUUGUCGUCAGCUCGUGUCGUGAGAUGUUGGGUUAAGUCCCGCAACGAGCGCAACCCUUGAUCUUAGUUGCCAGCAUUCAGUUGGGCACUCUAAGGUGACUGCCGGUGACAAACCGGAGGAAGGUGGGGAUGACGUCAAAUCAUCAUGCCCCCUUAUGACCCUGGGCUACACACGUGCUACAAUGGACAGAACAAAGGGCAGCGAAACCGCGAGGUUAAGCCAAUCCCACAAAUCUGUUCUCAGUUCGGAUCGCAGUCUGCAACUCGACUGCGUGAAG
rnacentral:rRNA from 1 species